CAAAUUCAUCCUAGUUAUAUUCCUGUCUACUAGAUCCAGAUUAUCUGUAGACAUGGUUUACUUUUUUAUGAUUAUCUAUUUUCUUUGACAAGAAUUUUCAAAAUUCCAUUUGAAAAGUUGAGUUCCAUACGUUGCAUAUGUGGAGGCUUCAUGUGAUGUUACAUCACAAUAGGGAGCUUCACCCUUUCAUUUUCCAAGCAGACAGAGGAGGGGCCUGGCCACCUCACCCUAAUAGGGGAUUAAGUGGCGUUACGGCUGGGUUGCUAUUUUGGUAAUAGUUAAUCUAGAUCUCUCUGUCCCAGUUUCCAGGGUGUAGCCCUCCUGGACCUUCAGUUUGCAGCAUAUUAUGAUUACCAGGCUUCUCCUCAGUGAUUAUUUUGCUCAUGAAGAGCAAAGACUGCGUCACUUAAGCUCAGUAUUGCAGAGGCUGUGGUUAAGGCUCUGAGACACCUGCCUUGCUCACAUUCAUAAUUCAGUAAAUGUCUUGUGGGGAAAACUGGCUUUUUGAUGCCUUCAUAUCUUCAGUUUUUCACUCUACUAGCAUCCCUUUGCUUUGCCAAAACCUGGAUUUUUAUCCACUAGCUACAUUCAAGAUUGGCUGAGGCCCCAGGAAUAAUAUUGUAGAAUGUCAAUAUACUGCUUCUGCAGAAUAAUUCUUGCUGCAUAAUAAAUUACCACAAACAGCAGCUUCAUGUACAUACAUUUGUUACAUAUUAUGUAUGUAUUUAAUAUGUAUGUUAACAUAACAUACGUUUAUUGUCUCAGUUUCUAUGGGUGAGGAGUUUGGGUCCAGCUUAACGUGGUCGUGUGCUCAGGUUCCACAAGGUUAUAGUCUCGAUACAUCGUGUUCUUGAGCUCAGGGUCAUCUUGCAAACUGAGCUAGGUGUUGGGAAAAUUCAGUUCCCAGUUGUUCGGAAAAAGUAGCAGUACCCAGUGGCAAACAGGUUCCCCCUGCAGCUUCUUUGGUUGGUUUUGUAAAUGCCUCCAGCAAGUCAUUUCCCCAAGAACAGGUUUUUCGACUGCUGACGGCAGAUUUCCGACAAGUCCCCCAGGGAGCAUGGCAGUGACUUCUCUGCCAUUCAGGGCCCACAGUCGUGCCCUCUCCAGCCAGUUGUGGAGCUCCAUUGUGGCUGUGGGGCCUUUUUUCAGGCACAAUAUCAUAGCUAUAGGAGUAGUGGCUGACCCUUCUCUCUGCUGUUCUCUUAUUCUCUGGAGUUAUCUGUAAUCCCUAAUAGCCAAUCCUCAUUACUGCAGCGUGCUGUUAUAGUUAGUGAUUCUUUCUAUUAAACUUCCCCUGUUCAAAUUAUUAUGUGGUUUCUAUCUCCUGUUUGGACUCUGACUCAUACAUUCGGUGUUGUUUUUAAUGGCUAUUCUUCUGCCACCACUGAUUAUUGGUACCUAAUCUAUAAUAGUUGUUCCACUACUGAUUAUUGGUACCUAAUCUAUAAUAGUUGUUCCACUACUGAUUAUUGGUACCUAAUCUAAAAUAGUUGUUCCACUACUGAUUAUUGGUACAUAAUCUAUAAUAGUUGUUCCUUGUUAUGAAGAAAGAGUUAAAGCAAAUUGACAAUUAACAUAAUACAUAUUAAAGAGCAAUGUAAGCUACUUGAGCUCACAAAAACGAAGUGAGAAUUAGAGACGGAAUCUUAGAGAAAGGGAGUGAUUUUUUUUUUUAAUCAUAAAACUAAGUACAAAAGAAGGCAAGACAAUUCAGAAGGGAAAAUAACGAUGCAAGAUAAAGUUAAAUCAAGAGAACAUGAGUAGAAUAGAACUAAAUUCCUAUUGUCAGCAUAUUGGGUCAGAUAAGCUAAAUUAAACAAACAAAUAAGCAAAGAAAACCCAAACUCUCCAAAUGAAGCAUGUAACAUACUGGACAGAUAAACAUCGUUUUGAAAAAAUCCGUGUAAGGCCAAAAUGUAAGGAAACCAACAGGCCCAAGUGAAACAAACCAGGCAAAGUUGGGGGCCAAGAUCUUCUUCAACCCCAAGGGGUUCUGCCAUGUCCCAUUUAACUUGAGCUGAGGUGAAUAUACAGUUUUAAGGGUGUGAUACAAAGGCAAGAUUUACACAGUUGUCAGUCUCCAGUAAAACUAACAUGCACAUAGUUAGGACCCAGCAAUUCUAUACCUAGAUAUUUACCCUUCAGAAUCUUUUGGACGUUUGCACUGGGAGACUCGUACAAAAAUAUUCAUGGCAGCAAAUUCAUAAAGGUCAAAAAGAUUGUGGUAUAUUCAUGCAAAGAAGCACUAUUCAGCCAUGAACAAUGUAUUCGAGCUCUAUACAGCUACAUCAAUAAAUCUAAUAAAUAUAUUUUUGUCUUAUUUGAGAAAAGGGACAGAAGGUUGGAAACAACUGCAUAAUAUAAAAGUAAAGGCAUGCUAUCGCAGCAGACCUCUUGUUUUGGUCAGCAACUUGAGCUGUUAUUCUAAAUCAGUUUGAUGUAAGACUCUAGGGAUGCUGAUCUGAGCUUCUAUUCUCAUUAACUUGGGUUUAUCCUGUAUGGGGGUCGGGUGGAGAAUAAGUAAAUAUAUUGGGCCCUUGAUUCACAUAAUAAGAGCUAGCCACUUAAAAUGUGAGUUUAAAGAUGUAUUCCUAAUUGUAGGAUUUGUCAGUGUGGCUUGAGCUCUUAAGGGAAGAGUAAAAAGAGAAGAAGAAGAAGAAAGCUACUGAUAACAUGGCACUAAAACAAUUUUUAUUUUAUUGAAGAAUACUACUUUGACUUGUAGAAUUCUAAGAUAUUGCAAUCGUUUUCACUCUUUGAAAUACUUGAGACUAUUUAAAUAUUGUUAUGUGAUGUAACAGUCAACAAGCCCUCUUUUAAAAGUGACAUUUGAAAACACAUUCUUACCAUUGUCCUUCAAAUCAUUUGAAUAUAUCACUAUGUGUUCACUAAAAGGUUCUAUGAUUAAAAUGGUGGGUGUAUUAAGUGUGUGUGUAUGUGUGCAUGCGUGUAUUUUGGAGGAGAAUAAAAAAGUAAGAAAAACAAAAACACUAAAAUAAUAGCUGAAGUGUCUAAAAAUAAGACUUGUAAAGUGUGGCGAAUGUAAUGGACAAACAAUUUGAGGAAUUUCACCUUGAACUAAUAGAUUAGGUUUUACUUAAAAGGGACAGAUUUAAUUUUAUUUUCACAGAUUGUUCAUUGGCAAAAGAAAAAUAUCAGAAUAUAAGGGGGCCAGCCCGGUGGGGCAGCAGUUAAGUUCGUGCCCUGCCUUGGUGGUCCAGGGCUCGCCAGUUUGGAUCCUGGGCGCAGAUCUAGCACCACUUAUCAAGCCAUGUUGUGGCAGGCAUCCCACACAUAAAAUAGAGGAAAACAGAAACAGAUUUUAUCUCAAGGCCAGUCUUCCUCAGCAAAAAGAGGAGGAUUGGUGGCUGAUGUUAGCUCAAUGCUAAUCUUCCUCAAAAACAAAAAAAAGCAUAUAAGUAUGAUCACAAUUAAAAUUUUAUAGCUUGUCUGUUGACUUUGGAGCUUAGAUUGUUGGGCUGAUAACCUCAAAAUAUUUUACUGUUUUCUGUUUCGUAAUAGUUAAAAUUGCUCAGGAUUUUUUCAAACUAAUCAUUUCAUUUGAUCGUCAUAAGAACCAUGUAUUAGGUGAGGAUUAUUACAUAGUUUUAUUGAUGAGACCAGAAAGAUAUAGACUCAGAAAAAUAUAUCUUGCCCAAGACCAGAUUUUAGUCCUGCAUCACUUGGUUUAAAAGUUAGAAUAGCAUGAUAAUUUCUUCAAGACGAACAUGGAAACAGUGUUUUUCAGGUAGAAUUAGAGGAGAAACACUGGAGAAGAGAGACCACUUGGAAUGCUGUUUAAAGAAUUCUACAUGCAGGGAGCCAAGCCCUGAACUUAAACAGGGGCUGUGGAAAUGGAUCCUGCUUCCAGCUUCUUCACUGAGUCCUUGGUCCUUUCAGACGUUUUCUGUGAGAACUAGUUUGAUUGAGAGUCUUUACAAUCCUUUUAAAGGUCUCUCUGGUGUUUUUUACAAUGAGCUGAAUGCUUUUGGAUAAUCUCUCUGAUUUAUCUAAGCUUAGUAAAAUGUUCAAUAAAAGUGGACUAUUUGAAUUCAGUGAAAGAGCACAGACUGCUGUUAGAUUUCUGGAAUGUUUUCUAAUUUCUACAUACAAAAGGAUAACAAAUUAAACAUUCAAGGAAAAGAAUAUGCUCUCUGGGUUUCAUCCCUAUUUAAAACCCUG
rnacentral:lncRNA from 1 species